GUUGCGGUAGGUCAGGUUUUUAAUCCAAAUAUUAAACCUUUUUCAUCGGUAUUUUUUAAUUUUCGGAUUUUGUGUGCCUUUAACGUGUUUGAGAACUAUGUAAAGUCGAUUUAUUGGUGUGGUAUAUGGUUUGAAACACCUCAAAUAGUUUAGCAUCAAGAAUAUUUAGUGGUUCCCAACUGUAGAAUUACAUUUUCGGGCAAAAAUGGCAGAAAAGCAUAUCAUAAAGUUCAGUUUUAUAACAAU